GAUGAACGCUGGCGGCGUGCCUAAUACAUGCCAGUCGAGCGAACGGACGAGAAGCUUGCUUCUCUGAUGUUAGCGGCGGACGGGUGAGUAACACGUGGAUAACCUACCUAUAAGACUGGGAUAACUUCGGGAAACCGGAGCUAAUACCGGAUAAUAUUUUGAACCGCAUGGUUCAAAAGUGAAAGACGGUCUUGCUGUCACUUAUAGAUGGAUCCGCGCUGCAUUAGCUAGUUGGUAAGGUAACGGCUUACCAAGGCAACGAUGCAUAGCCGACCUGAGAGGGUGAUCGGCCUCACUGGAACUGAGACACGGUCCAGACUCCUACGGGAGGCAGCAGUAGGGAAUCUUCCGCAAUGGGCGAAAGCCUGACGGAGCAACGCCGCGUGAGUGAUGAAGGUCUUCGGAUCGUAAAACUCUGUUAUUAGGGAAGAACAUAUGUGUAAGUAACUGUGCACAUCUUGACGGUACCUAAUCAGAAAGCCACGGCUAACUACGUG
rnacentral:rRNA from 1 species